CACCCGCGCCACAAGUGGCAAUCAGUUUUAUUGGGCCUAAAGCGUCCGUAGCCGGCUUGAAAAAUCUUUUGUGAAAUUGUUGCGCUUAACGUAACAGCAUGCAAAAGACACUGCCAAGCUUGGGACCGGGAGGAGUCAGAGGUAUUUCUGGGGGAGCGGUAAAAUGCGAUAAUCCUAGAAGGACCACCUAUGGCGAAGGCAUCUGACCAGAACGGAUCCGACGGUGAGGGACGAAAGCCAGGGGAGCAAACCGG
rnacentral:rRNA from 1 species